AUUGAACGCUGGCGGCAGGCCUAACACAUGCAAGUCGAGCGGAGCGGCGGACGGGUGAGUAAUGCCUAGGAAUCUGCCUGGUAGUGGGGGAUAACUUCCGGAAACGGGCGCUAAUACCGCAUACUAUCAGAUGAGCCUAGGUCGGAUUAGCUAGUUGGUGGGGUAAAGGCUUACCAAGGCGACGAUCCGUAGCUGGUCUGAGAGGAUGAUCAGCCACACUGGAACUGAGACACGGUCCAGACUCCUACGGGAGGCAGCAGUGGGGAAUAUUGGACAAUGGGCGAAAGCCUGAUCCAGCCAUGCCGCGUGUGUGAAGAAGGCCUUCGGAUUGUAAAGUACUUUCAGCUGGGAGGCGUUACCAACAGAAGAAGCACCGGCUAACUCCGUGCCAGCAGCCGCGGUAAUUC
rnacentral:rRNA from 1 species